UACGUAGGCAGCGAGCGUUGUUCGGAGUUACUGGGCGUAAAGCGUGCGUAGGCGGUGUCUUAAGUUUGUUGUGAAAUCUCCCGGCUUAACCGGGAGGGUGCGGCGAAUACUGAGAUGCUGGAGUGCGGGAGAGGUAAGCGGAGUUCCUGGUGUAGCGGUGAAAUGCGUAGAUAUCAGGAGGAACACCUGCGGUGUAGACGGCUUACUGGACCGUAACUGACGCUGAGGCACGAAAGCGUGGGUAGCAAACAGG
rnacentral:rRNA from 1 species